rnacentral:rRNA from 1 species
CUGACGAGUGGCGCACGGGUGCGUAACGCGUAUGCAAUCUACCUCUAACUGAAGAAUAGCCCAGGGAAACUUGGAUUAAUACUUCAUAAUAUCACAUCAUCUCAUGAUGGAGUGAUUAAAGCUUUGGCGGUUAGAGAUGAGCAUGCGUCCUAUUAGCUUGUUGGUGAGGUAACGGCUCACCAAGGCAUCGAUAGGUAGGGGGUCUGAGAGGAUUAUCCCCCACACUGGUACUGAGACACGGACCAGACUCC